UACGUAGGGCGCAAGCGUUAUCCGGAAUUAUUGGGCGUAAAGAGCUCGUAGGCGGUUUUUCGAGUCUGCCGUGAAAGCCCGGGGCUUAACCUGGGAUCUGCGGUGGGUACGGGCAGACUAGAGUGCAGUAGGGGAGACUGGAAUUCCUGGUGUAGCGGUGAAAUGCGCAGAUAUCAGGAGGAACACCGAUGGCGAAGGCAGGUCUCUGGGCUGUAACUGACGCUGAGGAGCGAAAGCAUGGGGAGCGAACAGG
rnacentral:rRNA from 1 species